rnacentral:rRNA from 1 species
CAGUAGCCACGGGAAUACGAAGGGGGCUAGCGUUGUUCGGAUUUACUGGGCGUAAAGCGCACGUAGGCGGACCGAUCAGUCAGGGGUGAAAUCCCAGAGCUCAACUCUGGAACUGCCUUUGAUACUGUCGAUCUGGAGUAUGGAAGAGGUGAGUGGAAUUCCGAGUGUAGAGGUGAAAUUCGUAGAUAUUCGGAGGAACACCAGUGGCGAAGGCGGCUCACUGGUCCAUUACUGACGCUGAGGUGCGAAAGCGUGGGGAGCAAACAGGAUUAGAUACCCCGGUAGUCCCUGUCUCUUAUAC